AAUCCAAAUGAUUGAAAACAAAACAUGCCUUUAAAUAAAACCAAUUCUUCACACUAGUAGGUCGAACUAAUACAAUCAGUGGAUUGCAUUUGGUUGUAUAUGUAAAGUUUUUUAAAAAGGAUAAUUUUAAUUUACAUGAUUAUUUUAAAUUUCCCAACCUUUUUCAUCUACUCCAAUUUCUUAAUCAAAAAACCAUACAUGUCAUUGCAAAUACUACCUUUUCUUCCAUUUCAUUCUCAAAACUUGAAUCA
rnacentral:lncRNA from 1 species